UACGGAGGGAGUUAGCGUUGUUCGGAAUUACUGGGCGUAAAGCGCACGUAGGCGGCUUUUUAAGUCAGGGGUGAAAUCCCGGGGCUCAACCCCGGAACUGCCCUUGAAACUGGAGAGCUAGAAUCUUGGAGAGGCGAGUGGAAUUCCGAGUGUAGCGGUGAAAUGCGUAGAUAUCGGGAGGAACACCGGUGGCGAAGGCGGCCCCCUGGUUGGAUACUGACGCUGAGACGCGAAAGCGUGGGGAGCAAACAGG
rnacentral:rRNA from 1 species